UUAAUAUACCAGGACUGGUGCUGCGUUCAGGCAACCGCGGAAAUGUGGUUGGAGGAGAGGCAGUGAUGUGUUAACAAGCGUGUGAACCUUCAGAACAAACAACUCAGGCAGGUGCUUCAGGCUGGAGAGCUUUUAAAGGGAGGCGGUGAAGGCAGCACGAGGCGUCAUGUGACUCUCAGCAGCAGGAUAACGGAAACGGGCGGAGAGAUUCAAAGACGCUGAGUAGAAAUCCAGGCAGGACCCUUUUUUCCGGUUCAGCCACGUUAUUUCUGUGCGUCUGGAUCAGAAAUGGAAGAAUAUACCUCCAAACAGUGUCACGGCCUUCAAAAGUCAAAUCUACACUGACUGAUUUUAGUUCACACGAGCUCUCUGAUAUGAAGUUUAAUCAAGUUAUGUUUGUCAAGUGAAGUUCCACCCGCUGAAGUGCUAUAAGACUGCACAGCUGAUUAUUUUUCAUCAUUGGUAUAACAUUCUGAUUUAUUUGGAAUCAGUUUAACACGUUCAAGUCGCUCUUUGCUCCAGACAGCUUUAAUUUAGCUCCGUUCAGGCUGAUUAAACGACUUUAUCUGUGUCAACAUUUUGGAGUUGAGCUCCUGUGGAUGUCUGAACACUUCCUGCAGGAGGUUCAUGGCAGACUAUAAUAAAUUAUUCUUUUUAUUUUGUAAUGUGUUAUAGCUAUUUCCUGGCAUUAACUGCAGUU